AGUGAACGCUGGCGGUAGGCCUAACACAUGCAAGUCGAACGGCAGCACAGUAAGAGCCUGCUCUUACGGGUGGCGAGUGGCGGACGGGUGAGGAAUACAUCGGAAUCUACUUUUUCGUGGGGGAUAACGUAGGGAAACUUACGCUAAUACCGCAUACGACCUACGGGUGGAAGCAGGGGAUCUUCGGACCUUGCGCGAUUGAAUGAGCCGAUGUCGGAUUAGCUAGUUGGCGGGGUAAAGGCCCACCAAGGCGACGAUCCGUAGCUGGUCUGAGAGGAUGAUCAGCCACACUGGAACUGAGACACGGUCCAGACUCCUACGGGAGGCAGCAGUGGGGAAUAUUGGACAAUGGGCGCAAGCCUGAUCCAGCCAUACCGCGUGGGUGAAGAAGGCCUUCGGGUUGUAAAGCCCUUUUGUUGGGAAAGAAAAGCAGCAGGUUAAUACCCCGCUGUUCUGACGGUACCCAAAGAAUAAGCACCGGCUAACUUCGUG
rnacentral:rRNA from 1 species